AAAAAUGUAGAAGAAGAAAAGCGGGACAAAGACAGAGUAUUGGGUGACCUACGUUCCUGUGGUGGUGAACAUGACUGCGAGUUCUCCAGAAGAACAAAUGCUGUAUUAUUACAGUGCUCCAGUACAUGUGGUGCCUCCUCAGCAGUACUCAGUCCAUCCCACAGGAUUCAAUACAUGCUACACUC